rnacentral:rRNA from 3 species
CUCGGCAACGGAUAUCUCGGCUCUCGCAUCGAUGAAGAACGUAGCAAAAUGCGAUACUUGGUGUGAAUUGCAGAAUCCCGUGAACCAUCGAGUCUUUGAACGCAAGUUGCGCCCGAAGCCAUUAGGCUGAGGGCACGUCUGCCUGGGCGUCACGC